UACGUAGGGACCGAGCGUUGUCCGGAUUCAUUGGGCGUAAAGAGCUCGUAGGCGGCUGUUCAAGUCGAACGUGAAAACUCGGAGCUCAACUCCGAGCCUGCGUUCGAUACUGGACGGCUAGAGUCUGGUAGGGGGAUCUGGAAUUCCUGGUGUAGCGGUGGAAUGCGCAGAUAUCUGGAGGAACACCGGUGGCGAAGGCGGCAUCCUGGACCGGUAUUGACGCUGAUGCGCGAAAGCCAGGGGAGCAAACGGG
rnacentral:rRNA from 1 species